UACGGACUUAAAAUCCGUCGACUUUAUAAAUCGUGAGGGUUC
rnacentral:tRNA from 1 species